GAUGAGCGCUGGCGGCGUGCCUAAUACAUGCAAGUCGAGCGAACGGACGAGAAGCUUGCUUCUCUGAUGUUAGCGGCGGACGGGUGAGUAACACGUGGAUAACCUACCUAUAAGACUGGGAUAACUUCGGGAAACCGGAGCUAAUACCGGAUGAUAUUUUGAACCGCAUGGUUCAAAAGUGAAAGACGGUCUUGCUGUCACUUAUAGAUGGAUCCGCGCUGCAUUAGCUAGUUGGUAAGGUAACGGCUUACCAAGGCAACGAUGCAUAGCCGACCUGAGAGGGUGAUCGGCCACACUGGAACUGGGACACGGUCCAGACUCCUACGGGAGGCAGCAGUAGGGAAUCUUCCGCAAUGGGCGAAAGCCUGACGGAGCAACGCCGCGUGAGUGAUGAAGGUCUUCGGAUCGUAAAACUCUGUUAUUAGGGAAGAACAUAUGUGUAAGUAACUGUGCACAUCUUGACGGUACCUAAUCAGAAAGCCACGGCUAACUACGUG
rnacentral:rRNA from 1 species